AUGCGUAGCCGGCCUGAGAGGGCGGACGGCCACAUUGGGACUGAGACACGGCCCAAACUCCUACGGGAGGCAGCAGUAGGGAAUUUUCGUCAAUGGGGGGAACCCUGAACGAGCAAUGCCGCGUGAGUGAGGAAGGUCUUCGGAUCGUAAAGCUCUGUUGUAAGAGAAAAACGGCACUCAUAGGGAAUGAUGAGUGAGUGAUGGUAUCUUACCAGAAAGUCACGGCUAACUACGUGCCAGCAGCCGCGGUAAUACGUAGGUGGCGAGCGUUAUCCGGAAUGAUUGGGCGUAAAGGGUGCGUAGGUGGCAGAUCAAGUCUGGAGUAAAAGGUAUGGGCUCAACCCGUACUGGCUCUGGAAACUGAUCAGCUAGAGAACAGAAGAGGACGGCGGAACUCCAUGUGUAGCGGUAAAAUGCGUAGAUAUAUGGAAGAACACCGGUGGCGAAGGCGGCCGUCUGGUCUGGAUUCUGACACUGAAGCACGAAAGCGUGGGGAGCAAAUAGGAUUAGAUACCCUAGUAGUCCACGCCGUAAACGAUGAGUACUAAGUGUUGGGAGUCAAAUCUCAGUGCUGCAGUUAACGCAAUAAGUACUCCGCCUGAGUAGUACGUUCGCAAGAAUGAAACUCAAAGGAAUUGACGGGGGCCCGCACAAGCGGUGGAGCAUGUGGUUUAAUUCGAUGCAACGCGAAGAACCUUACCUGGCCUUGACAUGUCUGGAAUCCUGUAGAGAUACGGGAGUGCCUUCGGGAAUCAGAACACAGGUGCUGCAUGGCUGUCGUCAGCUCGUGUCGUGAGAUGUUGGGUUAAGUCCCGCAACGAGCGCAACCCCUAUUGUUAGUUGCUACGCAAGAGCACUCUAGCGAGACUGCCGUUGACAAAACGGAGGAAGGUGGGGACGACGUCAAAUCAUCAUGCCCCUUAUGUCCUGGGCUACACACGUAAUACAAUGGCAACGACAGAGGGCAGCAAACUCGCGAGAGUAAGCUAAUCCCUAAACGUUGUCUCAGUUCGGACUGCAGGCUGCAACUCGCCUGCACGAAGUCGGAAUUGCUAGUAAUGGCAGGUCAGCAUACUGCCGUGAAUACGUUCCCGGGCCUUGUACACACCGCCCGUCACACCAUGAGAGUCUGCAAUACCCGAAGUCAGUAGCCUAACCGCAAGGAGGGCGCUGCCGAAGGUAGGGCUGAUAAUUGGGGUGAAGUCGUAACAAGGUAGCCGUAUCGGAAGGUGCGGCUG
rnacentral:rRNA from 1 species